GACGAACGCUGGCGGCGUGCUUAACACAUGCAAGUCGAACGGAAAGGCCCUGCUUUUGUGGGGUGCUCGAGUGGCGAACGGGUGAGUAACACGUGAGUAACCUGCCCUUGACUUUGGGAUAACUUCAGGAAACUGUGGCUAAUACCGGAUAGGAGCUCCUGCUGCAUGGUGGGGGUUGGAAAGUUUCGGCGGUUGGGGAUGGACUCGCGGCUUAUCAGCUUGUUGGUGGGGUAGUGGCUUACCAAGGCUUUGACGGGUAGCCGGCCUGAGAGGGUGACCGGCCACAUUGGGACUGAGAUACGGCCCAGACUCCUACGGGAGGCAGCAGUGGGGAAUAUUGCACAAUGGGCGGAAGCCUGAUGCAGCAACGCCGCGUGCGGGAUGACGGCCUUCGGGUUGUAAACCGCUUUCGCCUGUGACGAAGCGUGAGUGACGGUAAUGGGUAAAGAAGCACCGGCUAACUACGUGC
rnacentral:rRNA from 1 species